GCCCGGUUAGCUCAAUCGGUAGAGCGUGAGACUCUUAAUCUCAAGGUUGCGGGUGAGUUUCUUCCCUCUGAAGAAAAGACUCUUGUAAUAUCAAGCAUACUAACAACUCAAACAGGUUCGACCCCCGCAUCGGGCU